CACAUUUUGGGCAGAGGUGACUGGACUCAAUCAGUGACGAAUGAUCAAUGAAGUUGAAUGGAAUCAUCAAUUAAAGGAGAAAUGAAAUCCCACAGAUGAUGGGGCCAUGCAGUAUAAAGUUCUAGGAGAGGAAGAAAAACAGAAAUAGGAAACAAUGGUUGAAGUGCAGUUGAAAGGUACAGGGGGGAGAAUGAACAGAAUGUGGAGGAGAGAGAAAGUGAAGAGGAGAGAGAAAGUGAAGAGGAGAGAGAAAGUGAAGAGGAGAGAGAAAAUAAAGAGGAGAGAGAAAGUAAAGAGGAGAGAGAAAGUAAAGAGGUUAGAGAAAGUGAAGUGGAGAGAGAAAGUGAAGUGGAGAGAGAAAGUGAAGAGGAGAGAGAAAGUGAAGAGGAGAGAGAAAGUGAAGAGGAGAGAGAAAGUGUAGAGGAGAGAGAAAGUGAAGAGGAGAGAGAAAGUGAAGAGGAGAGAGAAAGUGAAGAGGAGAGAGAAAGUGAAGAGGAGAGAGAAAGUGAAGAGG
ensembl:lncRNA